rnacentral:siRNA from 1 species
UGGUUAGUGUUUUGGAGUCGAAUA